rnacentral:tRNA from 1 species
CCCGCCGUAGCUCAGCGGUAGAGCGCCCGGCUGUAGGGGGGAACCCGCAUCCCCCUAACCCCCCACGCGCCCAACCGGCGGCGAGAAGCCGCCGGGGAUGAGGGCGCGGCGGCAAAGGGGGAUGCGGGGCCGGGCAGAAACCGGGAGGUCCGGGGUUCGAAUCCCCGCGGCGGGA